AAUCAACGCUGGCGGCGUGCCUCAGACAUGCAAGUCGAACGCGAAAGUCCCCCUCGGGGGACGAAGUAGAGUGGCGCACGGGUGAGUAACACGUAGGUAAUCUACCUUCGGGUGGGGAAGUAACAAUCGGAAACGGUUAGCUAAUACCGCAUAAUGCAGCGGCACCUAAUGGUGACAGUUGUUAAAGCGGGGGAGUCGCAAGAUCUCGCGCCUGAAGAGGAGCCUGCGGCGGA
rnacentral:rRNA from 1 species